ensembl:lncRNA
CAUCUUUCCUACGUGCUCAGCUUCCUUCUGGCUGAGCCUUGCUGCUUCCUCUAUUCGUUUCUGUAAUUCACUCCCACUCUUUACUACUUUGCAGGAGGUGGUAGAGCAGAACAUAGGGAAGGACGGCCCAUCUCCAAGCACCUGAGGCACGUCCUAUUGGUCUUGCUUUACAGAGAGCCCGUUCCACGUAGCCUGAUGCUCAAAGAGAAGCUUUGCAUCAAGUGCUGCUCCACGACUUCUCCCAGUCAUUACCUGGAAGCUGCAUCCUUCAUUAAUCCCAUGCAUGGCAACGAGACGUCUGCUCACGGCUUCCCCCAGCAUGCCUUCCUGAUGUGCUGCUGCAGCAGGAGAGAAAGUUUUGGUGGCGCUGACGCUGGGAGGUGACAGGAGAAGAGGUAACCGAGAGGAGAGGAGCAAGCAAGGCUUGCACGAAGCAUUCCAGCAACUGGAGAACGUCCCUCUUAGCUGCCAACCGAACGGAAUGGAAAGAAGAAGG